rnacentral:rRNA from 1 species
GACGAACGCUGGCGGCGUGCCUAACACAUGCAAGUCGAACGAAAAGGCGCUGCUUUUGCGGGGUUUUCGAGUGGCGCACGGGUGAGAAACACGCGAGUAUCCCGCGCUUUGCUUUGGGAUAACUUCAGGAAACUGGGGCUAAUACCGCACAGAAGAUUCUGCUGCAUGGGGGGGGUUGGAAAGUUUCGGCGUUUCUGGACGGACUCGCGGCUUAUCAGCUUGUUGGUGGGGUGGUGGCUUACCAAGGCUUCGACGGGUAGCCAGCCUGGGAGGGUGACCGGCCACAUUGGGCCUGAGGUAGGACCAAGACGGCAACGGCGGCCAGGGGUGGAGAACAUUGCGCACUGGGCGGAGGCCUGAUGCAGCGUCGCCGGGUGCGGGAUGACGGCUUUCGGGUUAUAAACGGCGUUCGCCUGGGACGUUGCGUGUGUGACGGUAAUGGGUAAAGAAGCACCGGCUAACUACGUG